rnacentral:rRNA from 1 species
UACAGAGGGUGCAAGCGUUGUUCGGAAUUACUGGGCGUAAAGCGUGCGCAGGCGGUUUUGUAAGUCAGAUGUGAAAUCCCCGGGCUUAACCUGGGAACUGCGUUUGAAACUACAAGGCUAGAGUGUGGCAGAGGGGGGGUGGAAUUCCACGUGUAGCAGUGAAAUGCGUAGAGAUGUGGAGGAACACCGAUGGCGAAGGCAGCCCCCUGGGUUAACACUGACGCUCAGGCACGAAAGCGUGGGGAGCAAACAGG